rnacentral:rRNA from 1 species
UACGAAGGGUGCAAACGUUGCUCGGAAUCAUUGGGCGUAAAGCGCACGUAGGCGGCUCCAAAAGUCGGAUGUGAAAUCCCUGGGCUCAACCGAGGAAGUGCAUCCGAAACUGCGGAGCUUGAGUAUGGAAGAGGGUCGCGGAAUUCCCGGUGUAGAGGUGAAAUUCGUAGAUAUCGGGAGGAACACCAGUGGCGAAGGCGGGUCUCUGGGCCGAUACUGACGCUGAGGAGCGAAAGCGUGGGGAGCGAACAGG